rnacentral:tRNA from 1 species
UUAGUAUAACUAGUACGAUUGACUUCCAAUCAGUUAGCUCCAGAUCAACC